rnacentral:rRNA from 1 species
GACAGAGGGUGCAAACGUUGUUCGGAAUUACUGGGCGUAAAGCGCGUGUAGGCGGCAGCGCAAGUCGGAUGUGAAAUCCCAUGGCUCAACCAUGGAAGUGCACCCGAAACUGCGUCGCUAGAGUCCUGGAGAGGAAGGUGGAAUGCUUGGUGUAGAGGUGAAAUUCGUAGAUAUUGGGAAGAACACCGGUGGCGAAGGCGGCGCUCUGGACCGAGACUGACGCUGAGGCGCGAAAGCGUGGGGAGCAAACAGG